AUAAGAUAUUUUAAUAACUAAAUAAUUAUAAUCUAUAUAUACAUUUUUGCAGCCAUUUUAACAAAUAAAUCCUGAAUUUGGAUUUAUUUACAACUCAAUGCCAUUAGCAUUAAAUCUUUUCUCCAAAAUA
rnacentral:sRNA from 1 species